UGUGUAGAGAUAUAUAUAUUCCCUUUUUUUCACCAUUCUACAAAGACCCGGAAAGUGCUGGGAAAAUUGCAUAAAGAGAUUGUAGAGGGUUGACAGAAUCGUAUAUAAAAAUAUAUAUUCUGUCUGGUCUGUCAAUAUCAAUUCCCAUCAUCUCUGUGAUACAUUUAAUAUUUAUUGAUUGGAAUGCUGGAAGUUGAAUAAAUUCCUGGUGGGAAAGGACUGGGAUGUUCUACCCCAAGAUACUCAAUUUCUCGCCUUGAGAGUAUGUUCUUGACAUUGUCGAGAUCUUGGGGUGAUUUUAUUAACAAUUGAGAUUGAUUAAUGAUUGCCAAAUAAAUCUUACUCAGAAAGGCACGAAUCUUCCCAAUUCUUCAAGUGUUUAAUCACACUUUGAGCAUUGGGAAGUUUUUCAUUUCCUGGAGGAGAGAGAGCCGGGGUGCGAAAGAUAGAUAUUUCCAGAGAAGUCUCCUUGAGACUUUCAGCCACAGGCAAAACUUUCAAUUGCUCAGACUUAUCAAAAAACUGAACGAAAACACCAACAAUGGACUUCUUAGCUAAAAGGGCUCACAAAGGAAUCCUACUGUAGCUAGAAGAAAAGGAUUCUUCUGGACAAAUUUUCUCAACUUCUUCAGAAACUUCCUGUGCAGUCUCUACAAUACUGAGCAGCAUCCUUAUCAAGUCAUACUGUUGGUUCAUUUCUCAAAUAUCCCUUUUUCGAAUUAAGCGGAAAAUUCUACGAAAGAAAAAUGAUAAAAAGUAAGUGACUGACAAUGGCAUACAUUUAAUUUGCAUGGAAACCCAGGGAAAAAUUCCUCGUGUGUGGAAGAAAUGAUGUGGGAAUUAUUUAAAAAUAUUCACAUACACAUCAGAGAGAGAAAAUCUAUGGGGAUUCAUACUAAAAGCCAUAUAGAUAAGCUUUUUUGUGCUACGGGGACUUGUGAUUUUUUCAUUGCAAUUUUGGUUUGUUUGCAAUAAGCAAUUCAUAUUUAAUGCAUUGUCGUAAAAUUCUACUAUUACUCUACUUCAGAGGCGUGCAAGAACCGUUGAAACCGAAUUAACGUCAAAUGAAACAUGUACGUCAAUGGUCAAAACGCUACUAAUAACAAACUUAUUUUGACGUUACAGUAGAGUCUCGCUAUAGGCCAUCGCUCUAUAGUCCACCAUUUAUCGACCGUUAAUUUCAAAACACUGAUUUUAAGUUAGGUUAUGUCUUUUAGUAUGCGACAUGCAUAAUUAUUUUAAUAUUUUUGGCAAACUUAAUUGAGUAGUUGUGAUAAUUGUGAUCCACAAUGAAGAGAGCAGAGAAAGUGGAAGCCGUCGAGCAAUUUCAAUACUAAAAAUCGUUGAUAAUUUAAAAAAUGACAUGGACUAUAGUGCGACCCAAGUGUCAAAUUUGAAACCAAAUAUGGACUAUAGCGAGACUCUACUAUAAUUCGGUUUUUGCACACCUCUGCUCUACUUUCUACUAUUAUUUUUAAUUUUACAGCAAAGUUUAAAUAAAUAGAGUUAAAAGUGGAAUAAUUCUGCUAUUUAAAAAAAGAACAUGUUUUUUAGCACAUGACUGUUCUCAAAUGCUUCUGCAUUAUCGACUUGUAUUUGUGUUGGUUCGUAUUACUACUGUUUUGAGAUUUUAAAACAUAGCGAGUACUGAGAGCAACAAUCGUGGCAGGACCUGUACGAAGAAAAGUCGAUAAUGUUGAAGUAUUUGAGAACAGUAAAGUGUUAAAAAAUAUGUUCAUUUUUCAUUGGAAUAGCACCAUUAUAAGUAAUGAAAAAAUGGCAAAGCGUUCCCACUUUGCGUAGUGUUCGAACUCACGAGAUAGAAUUCUUCAUGCAUUAUAUUUUUCACAUAAUUCUUAUAUGUCCAUGCGGGUUGAAUAUCACUUUAAACUAGAAAUAAUUUCAAAAUUGACAUUUGCUGAUAAAUAUUGCAUAUUUUAAAGAAUUCUGUAGAGCUUAAAUUUUUCGCCUUAUAAUAAAUAACAUUGAAUUUACCUUCAUUUGCCUAAAGGUGUCUACACAUUUUUGAGUAAUUUUCGUCAAAAAUUGCGUUUUUGACAGAAAUUUGACGUUUCCCCCUACAACGCUGCAGGGAAUUUCCUUCAAAAAAGCAAUUUUUAACAAAAAUUGCUCCCAAUGUGUAGAGGCCAUAAAUUACAAUCUACUAAUAAGUGUUGAGAAUAGGGCUACGCUUAAUGGGCUAACUUUUUAAUCCCAACUCUCAAGCCAUUUUGAUAUCUACUCUGAAAAAAAUGUGUCUUGUUAAACGAAUAAAUGGAUUUUGUUGAAAUUUUGUCAAAAGGAUGUUAUUUACCAAUUUGACAAAACACUUUCUUGCAUUUUAUAUGGAAAAACACCCUUUUGACAAACUUUUAACAAGAUCCAGUUGGCCGCCGACUUGACAAAACUUUUCCAUAUUCUGUAUAGAAGAACAUCCUUUUUACAAACUUGUCUUGUUAAUUUGACAAAACAUUAUUUUCAGAGUAAAAGACCUAUGGACUACCUAUGGAUAAUCUAUUUUCGUCGGAAACAUCAAUGCCAAGUUGUCGAUCUGGGCACCACGCAGAGCUGUCUCCUUCUUCCCAUUGUAUCCGCGCCACGGAAAGAACGGUGCUGGCCAAUCCGAUUAAGAAACAUCUCUGUGACUUUGUACGUAGACAUAUAGGUCCUGAAUUGACAGGAUUCUUACUGUGUUAUCACACUUGCACAUUAACAUUUUAAUAUGAUUCACAUUAGUUGUCGCUGGUGAGAGUCCAAAUGUAUAAUUUGUGUGUUCGAAUCAUUUUAUAUUCAAAAUUUGAUCUAUUUGUUGAUAAAAAGGUAGACUUGACCCGCAAAAUUUGAUAUAAAUUGAUUUAUAGCAUUAAUGCGAAAAAUUAAUGCGAUUUUCUCUUUAAUUUUUUAAUGUGAAAAAUAUUUAUGCUUUAUGUAAAUAUAAACUUAUUUUUGCAAGCCAAGUCCACUUCUUUAUCAAUAAAUAGAAAAACCCCAAAUAUUGAGUGACUCAAAGACACAAAUAACAUAUCUGGAUGCUCACAAGCGACAAUUAAUGUAAAUCACAUUAAAAUUUUAAUGUGCAAGUGUGAUAACGCCUUUAGUUUCUCAACUAAUGGCCUUGGUGUGUGUGGUCGUGGUCCUCGUGGCCAUAUAUUUAACUACCGUUGGGCUGUUAUCUCUUAUCAGUCACCUGUUAGCAAACUAUUUGGUUAAACCUAGCAAUAUUUCAGUAAUUUCAGUGUAUCAAAUAGGAUUCUAAUGGCUCCGGCACACCUAUUAGAUCGAUCAAAUUGCACGAAAUCGAAAUUCGCAUCCUUUUCUUUCUCGAAAGGUUUCCAUAAGUCUGUCCCACUCUUUCUAACUCCAAAUUGGACUGAACUAAAUUUAAUUUGGUGUGAUGUUCAAAAGAAGAAGAAGAGUGUGAAAGAGUAGGAUAGACAUAUGCAAAACUUUUAAGAAAGGUAUGUGAAUUAUGAUUUAAUGAAAUUUUCCUGAUCUAAAAGGUGUGCCGAAGCCAUAAGGAAGACUUUAAGUCUGAAGAAAUGUGAUUGAUGCACAACAGUCAAUCAAAGCACAGCAUUACAAUAGCUGUGAGAGUGAAAGAAUCAGAGUUAAAUUCACUGAGAGUUUAUUCACCUGCUUUGAGAGAUUUUUCAGCUUUUCAAGAACCUCUCCUGAAAGGUAGACUGUCCUCCGGGAGCUACAAUGUUUGAACUAUACAAAUCCUAUUCCUAUAUCUUUCCAUAAUCUCCCAUAUAUUGUUCAAUAUAAACAACUAUGAAUUUUAAAUUUUGAAAGAACUCUGAGAGUUUCUUGGGGAAUGUAAAAGACUUUCUCAAGUAAAAUGUUUAAUCUUUAAUACACAAAUAUUGUAAGUACAACAUGGCUUCAAGUAUACAAUGUUAACAAUGUAAAAUAAAAUACAAACAGUAAAUACUUGUCAUUCAAUUCAACCUAUUUUUAUGUGAAAUUUUCUUAGGAAAAAUAUGUUGGGAUGAAUGUAAAUUUUAAUCCCUUGAAUAAGCAGCACCUAUUGCAAAGAUAGUUUAUUUGUAAAAGCUAAAGUAUUCACUAAUGAUUACCCGAUUGUUUUGAGGGUUUUGAGCUAGGUUAGUUGUCGGUUCUAAUAGGGGCGUGAUCUAAUAUUGUUCAAAAGGGGACGAGGCGGAGCUUAUUCGUAAAUGUAAUACUAUCUCCCUGUAAGAAUAAAAUAUGAUCAUGUGAAA